CCUACGGGUGGCAGCAGUGGGGAAUAUUGCGCAAUGGGCGAAAGCCUGACGCAGCGACGCCGCGUGAGGGAUGAAGGUCUUCGGAUCGUUAACCUCUGUCAGCAGGGAAGCACGGUCACUGUGCUAAUCAGCAGUGAAUUGACGGUACCUGCAAAGGAAGCACCGGCUAACUCCGUGCCAGCAGCCGCGGUAAUACGGAGGGUGCGUGCGUUAAUCGGAAUUACUGGGCGUAAAGCGCUCGUAGGCGGUAUGUCAAGUCAAGGGUGAAAUCCCCGCGCUCAACGUGGGAAGUGCCUUUGAAACUGGCAAACUGGAGUGUGUGAGAGGAUAGUGGAAUUCCAGGUGUAGGAGUGAAAUCCGUAGAUAUCUGGAGGAACAUCAGUGGCGAAGGCGACUAUCUGGCACAUAACUGACGCGGAGGAGCGAAAGCGUGGGUAGCAAACAGGAUUAGAUACCCGGGUAGUC
rnacentral:rRNA from 1 species